rnacentral:sRNA from 1 species
UUUUUUUUCCUUUUUU